rnacentral:lncRNA from 1 species
CUUCCAGCUGCCUUUCCACUGUCGCUCAGAGCAGACCCUGAGCCACACCCCUGUUCGAUAGCGGCCUGUGCUCAGCGCAGGGAGUUGUCGGCAUGACUGUCAUCACUGUCAUCACCGUCAUCCGCCUGUUAUCCUGGGACGUUGGGAGAGUGGAAGGCAGAGGGCGGAGGAGUGUAAGCAAUGACAAACAGCCAGCAGGAUCUGCAGCUCAUCUUGUCCAAAAAUGGCACUGUUACCAUGCAAAUGCAGGGUCUACUGUCACAGGAGGAAAUUGCCAUUUGUCACAGAG